CCUACGGGGGGCAGCAGUGGGGAAUUGUUCACAAUGGGCGCAAGCCUGAUGACGCAACGCCGCGUGGGGGAUGAAGGUCUUCGGAUUGUAAACCCUUGUCGAGCGGGACGAACGACUCGCGCACUAACACUGCGCGGGACUGACGGUACCGCUAAAGGAAGCCACGGCUAACUCUGUGCCAGCAGCCGCGGUAAUACAGAGGUGGCAAGCGUUGUUCGGAAUUACUGGGCGUAAAGGGCGCGUAGGCGGCCAUCUAAGUCAGACGUGAAAUCCCCCGGCUUAACCUGGGAACUGCGUCUGAUACUGGAGGGCUCGAGUUUGGGAGAGGGAUGUGGAAUUCCAGGUGUAGCGGUGAAAUGCGUAGAUAUCUGGAGGAACACCGGUGGCGAAGGCGGCAUCCUGGACCAACACUGACGCUGAGGCGCGAAAGCUAGGGGAGC
rnacentral:rRNA from 1 species